rnacentral:tRNA from 85 species
CGGGGUGUGGCGCAGCUUGGUAGCGCGCUUCGUUCGGGACGAAGAGGUCGUGGGUUCGAAUCCCGCCACCCCGAC